rnacentral:rRNA from 1 species
UACGUAGGUGACAAGCGUUGUCCGGAUUUACUGGGCGUAAAGAGCGCGUAGGCGGUCGUUCAAGUCGAGUGUGAAAGCCCCCGGCUCAACUGGGGAGGGUCAUUCGAUACUGAUCGACUCGAAGGCAGGAGAGGGUAGUGGAAUUCCCGGUGUAGUGGUGAAAUGCGUAGAUAUCGGGAGGAACACCAGUGGCGAAGGCGACUACCUGGCCUGUUCUUGACGCUGAGGCGCGAAAGCUAGGGGAGCAAACAGG